rnacentral:lncRNA from 10 species
CAGAGGGGAAGCCACCCCUGGACAGGCAGAUACUGGCUAAGAAUAAGAUCUCUGGGACCUCUGCAUGGGUCUGGGCCUGUGUAGGUUGCAAGUAACUACCUCACUCUGCUUCCUUUCUUUUAUUCCUAAACCUGCAGUGAAGUUGUGUCAAAAGUUACAGUCUGGACUCAGUUAUACUGUGGGGAAUUCAGGAAGGGCCUAUCCCAUGCUUCAGAAAGAAAUGCAAAGGAGAGAGCAGUAAACUUCCUCCUUGAGACCAGGGUGUUGGUAACAGAAGUCAUCUGCAGAAAGCCACACUCACCUGAGCCAUCAUUGUGAUCUUACAGAAAGAUAUGGCAGCCUUAGAGCCUUAGAUGGCACAUGGUCCCUGGAGACCUGCUGAAGAGACCAUAUGAUGGAAUCCUGAGAGUUCUCAGAAGCACCUGUUUAACCUCACUUCCAGUUUCCUGCCAUUAUCCAGAAAAGGAAGACCACUAAUUAAGAGGUAAAUGGCAGUUUUAUAUUUUCAUGGUUAAAUAACACAGACUUUUAGUGCUUAAAGGAACUAGUGUUAUACCCUUCAUUAUGAACACAAGAAAAUGAGUUCUAGAAUAAGUGUCCAUAGCUUCAGUGCCACAUAUUAAUAGGGAGUCAGAAAGCCUCCUCAGAUAACAUGUGAAAGAAGUGUGCCCAAACACUACAGAAGACUGGAGAACAGGACUGUCUUGUAACAUGACAGAAAGCAUGUCAAUUUGGGAGGCAGAAGGACUGCAAUUCAAAUGGCUCUAUACCUAUUAGCUGGCUCUACCCCUAAAUGGCUGGAUUAUCGGAGGCAAAUUGGUUAACUUAUCAGGUUCUCAGUUUCUACAUUUGAAAAAUGAGGAUAGUGACAACUAAUUUUCAGUUGUUGGAGAAUUAGAAAUAAUAUAUGAAUAAUGUAUAUUGUAGAUCCAAACACUAAUCACAGCUGAGUUGUGUAGUAAAUGCUGAUUAAUUUUAAAUAGUAUUCCUAAGUAUAAAAAUAACAUACAUGUAAUAUAUAAUAUAGAUAAAAGCUAUAUUUAUAUAUAGAUAAAAGUUUAUUUAUAUUUUGAUAUAUAUAAGCUUUUUUAUAUAUUUUAAUUUUAAUGUAAUUGAUCAGUAUUCUCCUUUAAGUAAUAUACACAUUUGUUUUGUGUGUGUGUAAAUUAAAUAUAUUUGUUUUCCUGUUUCAAUCUUCUCUUUGGUUUUUGAAUUUAAGAAAUGGGUUUGAAUGUAUUUAUUUAAGUGGGCUGAUGGUAUAUCACAUGUAAACUUAUUUUAAUAAAGAGAGAACAUAUGGUUUUCAUUCUUUUAUAAAAUUGUGAAAUAUAUAUACAUAAGAAUGUAUGAAAUGUAUAUACACUAUAUAAAUAGAAAUAACAAAGUGAACAUUAAGUAUCUACUGUUUCUGAUACAAAAUAAAACACUGCCAAUAAUUGGAA